AACAGCUAUCAGCUAGAACAGAAAGCUGUGAAAAUGUUCUUCCAAAUUUCUCUACUUAGGAGGCUGUUCUGGGAGAAGUUUUCUGAACAACCCUUCAUUCUUCCAUUGCUAGGUUCAAGAAAUCCUGCUAAUAUUAUGUUUUCAUUGAAAUAGUAUUGUAGGGCUGAAGUCAGUAAGCAAAGAUGUAGUGUUGAAAGUCACCCUCUUUUUUUUCCUCUUGUUUUCAGACAUUUUCCUCUUUCUUGGCAUUGCUUAGAUUUAUUCUCCUCUUCUCCCUUUUAGAAACAGAAUUUAGCAUAAAUAAAUGAUAACUGAGAAAAUGGCAUAAACGGAUAAGUAAAUGCAAGAUUUCUCCAGCCUCCCACUGGCUUGAAAUGUAUUUAGGAAAGCCAGGCAUGUAUGCAUGAAAUAGAAAGUCACCAUACAAGGCAGUGGGGCACCUGCCAUCUGCUGCAGAGGACGCAGCUGAAGAUAAGGACUACAGUUGUUCAAGG
rnacentral:lncRNA from 1 species